CCUACGGGAGGCAGCAGUGAGGAAUAUUGGUCAAUGGUCGGGAGACUGAACCAGCCAAGUCGCGUGAGGGAGGAAGGUUCUGUGUAUUGUAAACCUCUUUUGUCAGGGAAUAAAGUCAGGAACGUGUCCCUGGUUGUGUGUACCUUAUGAAUAAGCAUCGGCUAACUCCGUGCCAGCAGCCGCGGUAAUACGGAGGAUGCGAGCGUUAUCCGGAUUUAUUGGGGUUAAAGGGUGCGGAGGCGGUGAAUUAAGUCAGCGGUGAAAGUUUGGGGCUCAACCCUGGGAUUGCCGUUGAAACUGGUAGUCUUGAGUUGGUGAGAGGUAUGCGGAAUGCGCGGUGUAGCGGUGAAAUGCAUAGAUAUCACGCAGAACUCCGAUUGCGAAGGCAGCAU
rnacentral:rRNA from 1 species